UACGGGGGAUGCAAGCGUUAUCCGGAUUUAUUGGGUUUAAAGGGUGCGUAGGCGGUUUGAUAAGUCAGCGGUGAAAUAUUUCAGCUUAACUGAAAGGGUGCCGUUGAUACUGUCAGGCUUGAAUAUGGUUGCUGUGGGUGGAAUGUGUGGUGUAGCGGUGAAAUGCUUAGAUAUCACACAGAAUAUCGAUUGCGAAGGCAGCUCACAAAGCCAUUAUUGACGCUGAUGCACGAAAGUGUGGGGAUCAAACAGG
rnacentral:rRNA from 1 species